rnacentral:rRNA from 1 species
UACGUAGGGUGCAAGCGUUAAUCGGAAUUACUGGGCGUAAAGCGUGCGCAGGCGGUUAUGUAAGACAGAUGUGAAAUGCCCGGGCUUAACCUGGGAACUGCAUUUGUGACUGCAUGGCUAGAGUUUGGCAGAGGGGGGUAGAAUUCCACGUGUAGCAGUGAAAUGCGUAGAUAUGUGGAGGAACACCGAUGGCGAAGGCAGCCCCCUGGGCUAACACUGACGCUCAGGCACGAAAGCGUGGGGAGCAAACAGG